rnacentral:rRNA from 1 species
GAUGAACGCUGGCGGCGUGCCUAAUACAUGCAAGUCGAACGAACAGACGAGGACCUGGCUCCUCUGACGUUAGCGGCGGACGUGUGAGUAACACGUGGAUAACCUACCUAUAACACUGGUAUAACUGCGGAAAACCGGAUCUAAUACCGUAUAAUAUAUUGAACCGCAUGGGUCAAUAGUGAAAGACGGGUUUGCUGUCACGUAUAGAUCCAUCCGCUCCGCAUUGGCUAGUUGGUAAGGUAACGGCUUAGCAAGGCAACGAUGCGUAGCCGACGUGAGAGGGUGAUAGGCCACACUGGAACUGAGCCGGGGACACGAGUACUAGGGCAGGGCGCAGAAGCGAACCUGACGCAAUGGGGGAAAGUCUGACGGAGUAACGGAGAGCGAGUGAUGGAGGUGCUCGGAUAGUAAAACCGUGUUAUUAGGGAAGAACCAAUGUGUAAGGAACUAUGGCGGUCGUGACGGUACCUAAAGAGAAAGCGACGGCUAACUACGUG